GAAAAAUACAGUAACGAAAUGGGAGACGCAGAGCGGGAAGGAGGAGAGAAGAAGAAGAGCUUCGUGAUACAGAUUCCUUCCUAUGAAGAAGUUAUGGAGUGUUCUUCUCAGCCCAAAACGGCGUCGUCUUCAUCUUCUCUCUUCAACCCUACGCCUUCUUUUUCUCAAGCAUUCAAAUUCGUCAAAAACUCCGAAUUCUACUCCCCUCCGCCUCCUUCCUCCUCUCAAUCCGCUACUCCCAGACAGGUUAAUAGUUCACAUGUUACUGCUUCAUCAUCAUCGUC
rnacentral:misc_RNA from 1 species